rnacentral:rRNA from 1 species
AACGAACGCUGGCGGCAUGCCUAACACAUGCAAGUCGAACGAGACCUUCGUGUCUAGUGGCGCUCGGGUGCGGAACGCGGGGGAAGCUGCCCUUAUGUUCGGGAUUACUCCCCGUAGUGGGUGCUAAUACCGGAUAAUUUCUUCUGACCAAAGAUUUAUCGGCUUUGGGUGGGCCCGUGUUGGAUUAGCUAUUUGGUAGUGUAAAAGCCUACCAAGGCGACGAUCCAUAGCUGGUGUGAGAAGAUGCUCAGCCACACUGGGCCUGAGACACGGCCGAGACGACUACGGGAGGGAGCAGAAGGGAAUACUAGCCAAAGGGCGAAAGCGUGAUCCAGCAACGGCUCGUAAGUGACGAAGGCCUUAGGAUAGUAACGCCAGUUUACCCGCGAUGUUAACGACCGUAACCCGAGAAUAAGCCACGGCUAACUCCGUG